rnacentral:rRNA from 1 species
CCUACGGGGGGCAGCAGUGGGGAAUAUUGCGCAAUGGAGGAAACUCUGACGCAGCAACGCCGCGUGAAGGAUGAAGGCUUUCGGGUUGUAAACUUCUUUGAUCGGGGACGAAGAUGACGGUACCCGAGGAACAAGCCACGGCUAACUACGUGCCAGCAGCCGCGGUAAUACGUAGGUGGCAAGCGUUGUCCGGAAUUACUGGGUGUAAAGGGCGUGUAGGCGGGGCGGCAAGUCAGAUGUGAAAUACCGUGGCUUAACUGCGGGGGUGCAUCUGAAACUGUCGUUCUUGAGUGUCGGAGAGGAAAGUGGAAUUCCCAGUGUAGCGGUGAAAUGCGUAGAGAUUGGGAGGAACACCAGUGGCGAAGGCGGCUUUCUGGACGAUAACUGACGCUGAGGCGCGAAAGCGUGGGUAGCAAACAGGAUUAGAUACCCCAGUAGUC